CGGGCGGGGUGCUAUACAUGCAAGUCGAGCGGACAGAUGGGAGCUUGCUCCCUGAUGUUAGCGGCGGACGGGUGAGUAACACGUGGGUAACCUGCCUGUAAGACUGGGAUAACUCCGGGAAACCGGGGCUAAUACCGGAUGGUUGUUUGAACCGCAUGGUUCAGACAUAAAAGGUGGCUUCGGCUACCACUUACAGAUGGACCCGCGGCGCAUUAGCUAGUUGGUGAGGUAACGGCUCACCAAGGCGACGAUGCGUAGCCGACCUGAGAGGGUGAUCGGCCACACUGGGACUGAGACACGGCCCAGACUCCUACGGGAGGCAGCAGUAGGGAAUCUUCCGCAAUGGACGAAAGUCUGACGGAGCAACGCCGCGUGAGUGAUGAAGGUUUUCGGAUCGUAAAGCUCUGUUGUUAGGGAAGAACAAGUGCCGUUCAAAUAGGGCGGCACCUUGACGGUACCUAACCAGAAAGCCACGGCUAACUACGUGCCAGCAGCCGCGGUAAUACGUAGGUGGCAAGCGUUGUCCGGAAUUAUUGGGCGUAAAGGGCUCGCAGGCGGUUUCUUAAGUCUGAUGUGAAAGCCCCCGGCUCAACCGGGGAGGGUCAUUGGAAACUGGGGAACUUGAGUGCAGAAGAGGAGAGUGGAAUUCCACGUGUAGCGGUGAAAUGCGUAGAGAUGUGGAGGAACACCAGUGGCGAAGGCGACUCUCUGGUCUGUAACUGACGCUGAGGAGCGAAAGCGUGGGGAGCGAACAGGAUUAGAUACCCUGGUAGUCCACGCCGUAAACGAUGAGUGCUAAGUGUUAGGGGGUUUCCGCCCCUUAGUGCUGCAGCUAACGCAUUAAGCACUCCGCCUGGGGAGUACGGUCGCAAGACUGAAACUCAAAGGAAUUGACGGGGGCCCGCACAAGCGGUGGAGCAUGUGGUUUAAUUCGAAGCAACGCGAAGAACCUUACCAGGUCUUGACAUCCUCUGACAAUCCUAGAGAUAGGACGUCCCCUUCGGGGGCAGAGUGACAGGUGGUGCAUGGUUGUCGUCAGCUCGUGUCGUGAGAUGUUGGGUAGUCCCGCACGAGCGCACCCUUGAUCUAGUUGCCAGCAUUCAGUUGGGCACUCUAGGUGACUGCCGGUGACAACCGGAGAAGGUGGGGGAUGACGUC
rnacentral:rRNA from 1 species